rnacentral:rRNA from 1 species
GAGAUAGCUGGUUCUCCCCGAAAUAGCUUUAGGGCUAGCCUCAAGCGUAGAGAAACGGAGGUAGAGCACUGAAUGUCCUAGGGGGUAUUGCACUUACCGAAGACUAUCAAACUCCGAAUGCCGUUUUCUUUUACUUGGGAGUCAGACUGUGGGUGAUAAGAUUCAUAGUCAAAAGGGCAACAGCCCAGAUCGUCAGCUAAGGUCCCUAAAUGUACGUUAAGUGGUAAAGGAUGUGGGAUUGCACAGACAACCAGGAUGUUGGCUUAGAAGCAGCCACUCAUUUAAAGAGUGCGUAAUAGCUCACUGGUCGAGUGAUCCUGCGCCGAAAAUUUCCGGGGCUAAAACGUACUACCGAAGCUACGGCAUCAUUUAUGAUGGGUAGGGGAGCUUCGUAUGCAGGCUGAAGCAUGACCGUAAGGACAUGUGGACAGUAUACGAGUGAGAAUGUUGGCAUGAGUAGCGAGACGUGGGUGAGAAUCCCACGGGCCGUAAACCCAAGGUUUCCAGGGGAAGGUUCGUCCGCCCUGGGUUAGUCGGGACCUAAGCCGAGGCCGAAAGGCGUAGGUGAUGGACAACAGGUUGAUAUUCCUGUACCGCCAAUAAGCGUUUGAGAGAUGGAGUGACACAGUAGGAUAAGCUAACCGUACUGUUGGUUAUGUACGGCUAAGCAUUGAGGCAGUCUAAAUAGGCAAAUCCGUUUAGACAAUGCUAGGAUGUGAUGGGGAAGCCCUUCGGGGCGAAGUAGCUGAUUUCACACUGUCAAGAAAAGCUUCUAUCGAGUUUAAAGGCGCCCGUACCGUAAACCGACACAGGUGGGUGAGGAGAGUAUCCUAAGGCCAGCGAGAGAACUAUUGUUAAGGAACUCGGCAAAAUGACCCCGUAACUUAGGGAGAAGGGGUGCCUGUCUAUGACAGGCCGCAGAGAAUAGGCCCAAGCGACUGUUUACCAAAAACACAGGUUUCUGCUAAGUCGCAAGACGAUGUAUAGGAGCUGACGCCUGCCCGGUGCUGGAAGGUUAAGGGGAUCUGUUAGAGCAAUCGAAGCAGUGAACUUAAGCCCCAGUAAACGGCGGCCGUAACUAUAACGGUCCUAAGGUAGCGAAAUUCCUUGUCGGGUAAGUUCCGACCCGCACGAAAGGCGUAACGAUUUGGGCACUGUCUCAACAAUAGACUCGGUGAAAUUGUAAUCCCGGUGAAGAUGCCGGGUACCUGCGACAGGACGGAAAGACCCCAUGGAGCUUUACUGUAGCUUGACGUUGGGUCUUGGUACUACAUGUACAGGAUAGGUGGGAGACUAUGAAGCAUGGACGCCAGUCUGUGUGGAGUCAUCCUUGGGAUACCACCCUUGUAGUACUGGGAUCCUAACCAUAGGCCUUGAAUCAGGUCUUGGAACACCGUCAGGUGGGCAGUUUGACUGGGGCGGUCGCCUCCUAAAAAGUAACGGAGGCGCUCAAAGGUUUCCUCAGCACGGUCGGAAAUCGUGCGAAGAGUGUAAAGGCAAAAGGAAGCUUGAUUGCAAGACAUACAGGUCGAGCAAGGACGAAAGUCGGACUUAGUGAUCCGGUGGUACCGCAUGGAAGGGCCAUCGCUCAACGGAUAAAAGCUACCCUGGGGAUAACAGGC